AGGACAAUGGAGUAAAUGAGGAUGAAGAAGUGGGUCCAUUGAUUCCCCCACCCCAGGGAUUCAGGGGUCCAUCUGCAAGACCUAAUCAAGGGAGACCACUGUCUCAGUCAGUUCCACAGGAUACACAUAGUAACGUAAUGAGAACAAGUAGUGCUAAACCCCCUCUCCCCCGCGGCCGACAGAGCACCAGUACAGCAAACUUCCGGUACAAGCACCCGUCCCCACCUCGGAGACCUGCAAGACCACCUACUUCAAGUAGAAAUGAAACUUAAGUCGUAAAAAAAAAUUCUCCCAUUUUUAUAGAGUGAUAUAUAGGAUGGUAGCAUGUUGUGUGAUUGAAUCAAAUUGUUCAAAACUUCAGUGUUGGGGAAAAAGGCUUUGAAGAAAGACUUUUCUUUACAUAUAUAAGUUAAACUUUUCUUGUCUUUUCAUUUUGGCAAAGAUGAAAAGAAAAUGUUUCUUGCUCUGUGAGUAAGGACUUUUCUGUGAUAAGUUCAAAAGGAUAUUUUUUCAAUACAUUUCAAAGCUCUUUACAUAUUUUCGUAGGAGAAAUUCUUGUUACUUGAAUUUAGUUCAUAUUUACAAUCAUGGACUAUAAAUACUCGAAUGGACCGCAAAAUUACUACAAAAAAGCUGUGUCUUUGUGAUAAUACUAAAGCAUGAUUGAAAUGAAUUACAUAACAUGCCAAAGUUUAUGUGAUAUUUAUUCAAAUGUUAAUUGAAAUUUAGAUAGCUUAGAACAAUAAAUAUACAUUUAUUAUACAUACUUUGCAUGCCUAUAUGUAUCUUAUUGCAGUGAAUAUUAUUACAACAGGCAAAAAAUGCCAUAAUGCAUACAGGUUCUGUUAGAAAGAAACUGUAUUUUAUGAUUGUCAAGAGUUACUUCCGCAGAAUGAAUAGGAAAGUAGCCUUUUUUAACAGGACUGGUGUCAAGGGUUUGCUCCCCUGUAUGUUCUAUUAAUUAGGAUACAAAAGAAAGCUUCUUAACCCUUAUCAUGCUUGACACGAUUAAUUCUGCCUUUGCGACCUGUGUAAAUCUUGAUCAGCCUGCACAUAUGUGCAGUCUGAUCAAGAUCUGCUCUGUUCGCCAUUCAGUCUAUCUUUUUUGUAAGCACUCCUUUGAAAGAUGUACAAGUAGAAAUAUAGGAGGGUCAGGGUUAAGCAGAUGUGAUAAAAUUAUUAUUGUUAUUGUUAUAUUUUCAUCCAAACUUUUACCUGGUCUAAUAUUUCAUUUCACUAAAUGCAUAUAUAAAUCUAUAGUAUUUGCUUCACAGUUACUUCCCUUGUUUCAUGCUUACUUCACUACUGUAUAUUAUAGAGCAAAAUGGCAUUUUUAAGUCUUUGUAUAGCAAUCACAGCUUUUACAUUUGUACUUUCACAAAUAAAUGUGUUCAUAGAUUCUGAAAUUUAGAAA